rnacentral:tRNA from 1 species
GUCUUAGUAGUAUAACAAUUACACUGGUCUUGUAAGCCAGAAAUGGAGACUUAAACCUCCCUAAGACA